GGUUAAGCGACUAAGCGUACACGGUGGAUGCCCUGGCAGUCAGAGGCGAUGAAGGACGUGCUAAUCUGCGAUAAGCGUCGGUAAGGUGAUAUGAACCGUUAUAACCGGCGAUUUCCGAAUGGGGAAACCCAGUGUGAUUCGUCACACUAUCAUUAACUGAAUCCAUAGGUUAAUGAGGCGAACCGGGGGAACUGAAACAUCUAAGUACCCCGAGGAAAAGAAAUCAACCGAGAUUCCCCCAGUAGCGGCGAGCGAACGGGGAGGAGCCCAGAGCCUGAAUCAGUGUGUGUGUUAGUGGAAGCGUCUGGAAAGGCGCGCGAUACAGGGUGACAGCCCCGUACACAAAAAUGCACAUGCUGUGAGCUCGAUGAGUAGGGCGGGACACGUGGUAUCCUGUCUGAAUAUGGGGGGACCAUCCUCCAAGGCUAAAUACUCCUGACUGACCGAUAGUGAACCAGUACCGUGAGGGAAAGGCGAAAAGAACCCCGGCGAGGGGAGUGAAAAAGAACCUGAAACCGUGUACGUACAAGCAGUGGGAGCACGCUUCGGCGUGUGACUGCGUACCUUUUGUAUAAUGGGUCAGCGACUUAUAUUCUGUAGCAAGGUUAACCGAAUAGGGGAGCCGAAGGGAAACCGAGUCUUAACUGGGCGUUAAGUUGCAGGGUAUAGACCCGAAACCCGGUGAUCUAGCCAUGGGCAGGUUGAAGGUUGGGUAACACUAACUGGAGGACCGAACCGACUAAUGUUGAAAAAUUAGCGGAUGACUUGUGGCUGGGGGUGAAAGGCCAAUCAAACCGGGAGAUAGCUGGUUCUCCCCGAAAGCUAUUUAGGUAGCGCCUCGUGAAUUCAUCUCCGGGGGUAGAGCACUGUUUCGGCAAGGGGGUCAUCCCGACUUACCAACCCGAUGCAAACUGCGAAUACCGGAGAAUGUUAUCACGGGAGACACACGGCGGGUGCUAACGUCCGUCGUGAAGAGGGAAACAACCCAGACCGCCAGCUAAGGUCCCAAAGUCAUGGUUAAGUGGGAAACGAUGUGGGAAGGCCCAGACAGCCAGGAUGUUGGCUUAGAAGCAGCCAUCAUUUAAAGAAAGCGUAAUAGCUCACUGGUCGAGUCGGCCUGCGCGGAAGAUGUAACGGGGCUAAACCAUGCACCGAAGCUGCGGCAGCGACACUAUGUGUUGUUGGGUAGGGGAGCGUUCUGUAAGCCUGUGAAGGUGUACUGUGAGGUAUGCUGGAGGUAUCAGAAGUGCGAAUGCUGACAUAAGUAACGAUAAAGCGGGUGAAAAGCCCGCUCGCCGGAAGACCAAGGGUUCCUGUCCAACGUUAAUCGGGGCAGGGUGAGUCGACCCCUAAGGCGAGGCCGAAAGGCGUAGUCGAUGGGAAACAGGUUAAUAUUCCUGUACUUGGUGUUACUGCGAAGGGGGGACGGAGAAGGCUAUGUUGGCCGGGCGACGGUUGUCCCGGUUUAAGCGUGUAGGCUGGUUUUCCAGGCAAAUCCGGAAAAUCAAGGCUGAGGCGUGAUGACGAGGCACUACGGUGCUGAAGCAACAAAUGCCCUGCUUCCAGGAAAAGCCUCUAAGCAUCAGGUAACAUCAAAUCGUACCCCAAACCGACACAGGUGGUCAGGUAGAGAAUACCAAGGCGCUUGAGAGAACUCGGGUGAAGGAACUAGGCAAAAUGGUGCCGUAACUUCGGGAGAAGGCACGCUGAUAUGUAGGUGAAGUCCCUCGCGGAUGGAGCUGAAAUCAGUCGAAGAUACCAGCUGGCUGCAACUGUUUAUUAAAAACACAGCACUGUGCAAACACGAAAGUGGACGUAUACGGUGUGACGCCUGCCCGGUGCCGGAAGGUUAAUUGAUGGGGUCAGCGGUAACGCGAAGCUCUUGAUCGAAGCCCCGGUAAACGGCGGCCGUAACUAUAACGGUCCUAAGGUAGCGAAAUUCCUUGUCGGGUAAGUUCCGACCUGCACGAAUGGCGUAAUGAUGGCCAGGCUGUCUCCACCCGAGACUCAGUGAAAUUGAACUCGCUGUGAAGAUGCAGUGUACCCGCGGCAAGACGGAAAGACCCCGUGAACCUUUACUAUAGCUUGACACUGAACAUUGAGCCUUGAUGUGUAGGAUAGGUGGGAGGCUUUGAAGUGUGGACGCCAGUCUGCAUGGAGCCGACCUUGAAAUACCACCCUUUAAUGUUUGAUGUUCUAACGUUGACCCGUUAUCCGGGUUGCGGACAGUGUCUGGUGGGUAGUUUGACUGGGGCGGUCUCCUCCUAAAGAGUAACGGAGGAGCACGAAGGUUGGCUAAUCCUGGUCGGACAUCAGGAGGUUAGUGCAAUGGCAUAAGCCAGCUUGACUGCGAGCGUGACGGCGCGAGCAGGUGCGAAAGCAGGUCAUAGUGAUCCGGUGGUUCUGAAUGGAAGGGCCAUCGCUCAACGGAUAAAAGGUACUCCGGGGAUAACAGGCUGAUACCGCCCAAGAGUUCAUAUCGACGGCGGUGUUUGGCACCUCGAUGUCGGCUCAUCACAUCCUGGGGCUGAAGUAGGUCCCAAGGGUAUGGCUGUUCGCCAUUUAAAGUGGUACGCGAGCUGGGUUUAGAACGUCGUGAGACAGUUCGGUCCCUAUCUGCCGUGGGCGCUGGAGAACUGAGGGGGGCUGCUCCUAGUACGAGAGGACCGGAGUGGACGCAUCACUGGUGUUCGGGUUGUCAUGCCAAUGGCACUGCCCGGUAGCUAAAUGCGGAAGAGAUAAGUGCUGAAAGCAUCUAAGCACGAAACUUGCCCCGAGAUGAGUUCUCCCUGACUCCUUGAGAGUCCUGAAGGAACGUUGAAGACGACGACGUUGAUAGGCCGGGUGUGUAAGCGCAGCGAUGCGUUGAGCUAACCGGUACUAAUGAACCGUGAGGCUUAACCUU
rnacentral:rRNA from 1 species